rnacentral:Y_RNA from 1 species
GGCUGGUCUGAAGGCAGUGAGUAUCUCAAGUGAUUGUUCACAGUUAUAGAUGGAAUGCCUUGUUCUACCCUUUCCCACUUCUUACUAUUGCACUUGAUUAGUCUUUA